UGAAUGUAAAACCUUGCUAUCUGUUGCAAUUAGUUUGUAAAAUGUCUUUUUCAGGACAAAAAGAAUCUAGAAAGAAUGCCUAGAAGGAAUGCUCAGGACUCAAGAACCUGGUAACAACUGAAUCAUGGAGAGAUAUCACCGACUUGCUUGUAGGAGGUGGUGUUUGGUGGGAAGAGAUAGCAUGGAAUGCACCUCCCCUCCCCUCUACCCAGCAGCCCCCGGUGCCUUGGCCUCCUGAUGUGCUCCGGUCACAAUAGCCUUCUCGGUACUUCGGGCUCUUGUGCUGCCACACUUUUGUUGCAAAUGAGAAUUCUCAACUUCCGAGCGUGUUAAGAAGUAGAAGAGGAGAAAAGAGUCGGAGAAGUCAUAUAUCCAUCUCUUAGUCCGUCAUACUUCAGUAUCGCAAUUCGCAGACCUCUUAUUCUUGUGUAAAGGGUGAAAUUCUGGUUACUU
rnacentral:lncRNA from 1 species